rnacentral:rRNA from 1 species
GACAGAGGGUGCGAACGUUGUUCGGAAUUACUGGGAGUAAAGCGCGUGUAGGCGGCAGCGUAAGUCGGGCGUGAAAUCCCACGGCUCAACCGUGGAAGUGCACUCGAAACUGCGCAGCUAGAGUCCUGGAGAGGAAGGUGGAAUGCUUGGUGUAGAGGUGAAAUUCGUAGAUAUCAAGCGGAACACCGGUGGCGAAGGCGGCCUUCUGGACCGAGACUGACGCUGAGGCGCGAAAGCGUGGGGAGCAAACAGG